AGUGAACGCUGGCGGUAGGCCUAACACAUGCAAGUCGAACGGCAGCACAGUAAGAGCUUGCUCUUACGGGUGGCGAGUGGCGGACGGGUGAGGAAUACAUCGGAAUCUACUUUUUCGUGGGGGAUAACGUAGGGAAACUUACGCUAAUACCGCAUACGACCUACGGGUGAAAGCAGGGGAUCUUCGGACCUUGCGCGAUUGAAUGAGCCGAUGUCGGAUUAGCUAGUUGGCGGGGUAAAGGCCCACCAAGGCGACGAUCCGUAGCUGGUCUGAGAGGAUGAUAAGCCACACUGGAACUGGGACACGGACCAGACUACUACGGGAGGCAGCAGUGGGGAAUAUUGGACAAUGGGCGCAAGCCUGGUACAGCCAUAGCGAGUGGGUGAAGAAGGCCUUCGGGUUGUAAAGCCCUUUUGUUGGGAAAGAAAAGCAGCAGGUUAAUACCACGCUGUUCUGACGGUACCCAAAGAAUAAGCACCGGCUAACUUCGUG
rnacentral:rRNA from 1 species